UAAAGGCAUUUUCUUAAUAUAAUGGUGGGUUAAACUUUGUUACAAGACAUGCAAUUUCACAGUCAUUUCACAUAGCAGUCCUUGACAACUAGGAAAAGUAGAUCUGAUGUUAUUCUGUUCAUCACAUUCACUGACAGACCAGGUAAAGAUGUUAAUAUGGCUGUAAGUAGUUUGCAACAGAAAUUGACUGCCACAAGAAAGAUCAGUCAUUUUAUUGUCAUGAUAAAAUGUACACUAAAUCUAAAUAUAAGGUGCAUGAUUACAAUAAAAGGUUUACUUGAUGUAAAAUGUUAUAAUUACUUCCCAUUUUAUUAUCCAAGUCUUUUUUCUUGUCACAUUUGCUAAUUGAUCAUAAGAUUUUAGAAACAAGACAAAAAUUAUUCUGACAAUUUAACCUACAAAA
rnacentral:lncRNA from 1 species